AUGCCGGAGGCGUGGGAGCGAUGGCGGCGCUCGCAGGAGGCUGCGCGUUGGAGCUCCGGGUUGUGUGUCGGCCUAUGGAGGUGGGCGGCGCUGUGGCUGCCAUGGCGCGUGGCGGAGGCGGCGGGCGGUGACGUCGUACGUGCGGCGACCGCGGAGGCCGCCGAGGCGCUGCAUGGUGGUACGGCGGCGCAGCACGACAUGGCGGCAUGGAGGCCGCGGCGGUGCAGGGCAAUAAGACGCGGCGGCGAGCCGGGCGCGACCGGUGCGUGUUAUGGGUGCGCACUGGACGCGUCGGGCGCGUCGGGACCGUAG
rnacentral:rRNA from 1 species